GGGUAACGGCCUACCAAGCGACGAUCAGUAGCCGGCCUGAGAGGGUGAACGGCCACAUUGGGACUGAGACACGGCCCAAACUCCUACGGGAGGCAGCAG
rnacentral:rRNA from 1 species